rnacentral:sRNA from 1 species
AGGUAUUUGAGUAUAUUGGGGCGAAUCACUCACAUUCAACGGUAAGAGUAACCGAAAAAAAAAGGGGGAAAGAAUUCCCCCUGUACUUUUAUG